GGGGGAAUUUUGCGCAAUGGGCGAAAGCCUGACGCAGCAACGCCGCGUGCGGGAUGAAGGCCUUCGGGUUGUAAACCGCUUUCAGCAGGGACGGAACUGACUGUACCUGCAGAAGAAGCCCCGGCUAACUACGUGCCAGCAGCCGCGGUAAUACGUAGGAGGCAAGCGUUAUCCGGAUUUAUUGGGCGUAAAGCGCGCGUAGGCGGCUUGUUAAGCGAGAUGUGAAAAACCGGGGGCUCAACCCGCGGCCUGCAUCUCGAACUGGCAGGCUUGAGUCUGGUAGAGGAGUGUGGAAUUCCCAGUGUAGCGGUGAAAUGCGCAGAUAUUGGGAGGAACACCAGUGGCGAAGGCGGCACUCUGGGCCACGACUGACGCUGAGGCGCGAAAGCUAGGGGAGCGAACAGGAUUAGAUACCCUGGUAGUCCUAGCCGUAAACGAUGGGCACUAGGUGUGGGGGGUUAGUCGAACUCCCUCCGUGCCGCAGCUAACGCAUUAAGUCG
rnacentral:rRNA from 1 species